CGUGCAGGUGGUUUUCUAAGUUUCGUGUGAAAUCCCAUGGCUCAACCAUGGAACGGCACGGAAAACUGGAAGACUUGAAUACGGGAGAAGAGGGCGGAAUUCCCAGUGUAGAGGUGAAAUUCGUAGAUAUUGGGAGGAACACCGGUGGCGAAAGCGGCUCUCUAGACCGAUAUUGACGCUCAUACGCGAGAGCGUGGGUAGCAAACAGGAUUAGAUACCCUGGUAGUCCACGCUGUAAACGAUGGAUGCUAGGUGUUGCGGGAGUUGACCCCCGCAGUGCCGAAGUCAACACAUUAAGCAUCCCGCCUGGGAAGUACGGUCGCAAGACUAAA
rnacentral:rRNA from 1 species